GCUCCUCCAUUCGUUUCCACCCCAUCCACCCGUUGCGACGCCACCAUCACCCCUCCUACAGCUGUUUCCAUCUCCUCCCUCCCGUUUCACUCCUUUCCGCUUCUUUUUAUCCCCACCUCCCCCCUCUCUCCCUCUCUUCAAGAGAGGAGAGAGGGGUGGACCGCCGUCGUCGCUGAUUUCAUGGGCUCGGCCAACCAUUCGCCGAGUUCAGACAAUGCAGCGAUGGCCACGGCGGACGAGAUGUUCUCCAAGCGCGGCUGCUGCUGCUUCUUUGUGCCCUGGCCUAACAAGGCCUGGGAGAGGAUAAUGCCCCCGGCGUCGGAGCGGACCGACGGGGUCUGCCCCGCGGCGAGCCGGCGGUGGUGGUGCAGAGGAUGGAAGGCUAUCCUCAAGGUGCGGGAGUGGUCCGAGCUCGUGGCCGGCCCUCGGUGGAAGACCUUCAUCCGCCGGUUCCGCCGCCGGCCCCGGAACGGCGGCGGAGGCAAGCCCGGCGGCAGGUUCGGGUACGACCCCAUGAGCUACGCCCGCAACUUCGACGAGGGGCAGGGCAGCGACUCGGACGGCGACACCGUCCGGCGGGGUUUCUCCGCCAGGUACGCCACCCCGCCCGCGUUGGCCAAGUCGUCGAUGGACUUGGGGGGCCUCAACGACGCGCCGCUCCUCGUCGGCUACGCCCACUGAGGAGGAGGAGGACGCCGAUUUUGAGAUCAGAUGGGGGAAAUGGAGUUCAACAUUUUGGAAGAAGCAGAUCUGUAAAGAAGCCUGUGAACCACCCUUCACAAUAGUUGAGCAAUGAUAUGUUGUCCAUACCAUCACUCUAUAAUGACACCUACCGAACUAAGCUUGCUGUUGAACCUGUCUGUGCUGGUGAUGAGCAGAAAGGUCCUUCAUGGCUUGAAUGAAUGCGUAACCUGACUGGAACUAGAUAAUGGAAAGUGAUUUAUUUCUGCUGCACAGGUAAUUGAUUUGUGGAUAUUGGUCAACCAGCCUUGCAAGAUGAUGAGGUAACUCAUGGUUCUUUCUUUCUUGCUAUUUCUUCUGUUGUCACCAUUAUCCACCAUUUGAAUUUGUUGCUUAAUUCUGGAUAAAGAUACUCUCUAUAACGAUAUGGAGCAAGCAGUGGCACAAGCGAGAUCAACAAGUUUGAGAUCUUCAAUGGAGAGUCAAAGAAGGUCUACACAGAUGUUGCAUUACCUGAAAUGUGCUGCAACCGAUGAAGAUGACACUGGUUUUUAUUUUCUUCAUGUUAAUUUGGAAAUGAGAUUUUGAUGAACUCUAAUUGGCCAUUACUGACUGAAUCUUACUGCUAUGGAUUAUUGUUUAGUGAGAGUAAUAAUGUAGAUCAUCUGCUAACCAUUAGCUCGAUGUAAUUCUAUCAGAUUAGAACUUUUUAGAAGAAAUACUCAGUUUUCUUUUCCUCCAUGUCGGUCUUGCUCCUGAUGUCUGUGUUUUGGAUGGUUAAUACAAGGUUGCUCCAGGGAAAUAGAAGGUUAAACACUUAAAAUACACUCUGAAGUUUCUGAUACCAGAAAACUGGAGGGUAGGAUUUUGAAUGAUGAGGGCUUCUAAAAGGAUACUUCGAUAACAUCAUAUACUUGGAGGAUAGAAGCUGCUGCAACAAGUCAGCUUUAUGCACUCAUCAACAGAAAUGCACAUGCACCUCUUUUUCAGCCAAAUGGGCUCACUCUAUAUAGUAGCAGCUUGUUGCAAUGAAGCUCAUAAUUUAGCACCUCCUCCUGGCUGACAAACUUUGAACAACCUAUCCUGUACUUUCAUGGAUGCUGGAAAAUAUUGUGUAAGCAAACUGAAAGUUUGGUGGCUGAAUGAAUCACAAAGAAGUAGGGUCUGUGGUUGGUUGUAGCCAUUAAUGAUUCCAGUAUAAUCUGUAGCUGGUGUCCUCUGUAAUAACUAUUCAAGCUCAGUUUGAUCCACAACCAUAAAGAGUGCCACCUAAUGCUCAACAGCCAGCAACUGUGAAAUGAACUCUAUCUGCUUCCAGUAAUCAUUUUCAGAAUCUCUCUGCCCAUAAAUUGUGAAAUGGAUGGACAAAGUAAAGAAAGCCUGAAACUGUGAACAGAGACCAAGUCAAACAAACUAUGGGCCCUGAAAGGUAAAGGUGGAACAAUUAAAUAAGCAUGACACUGUGCUGCCCCAGGAACUGCUGCACCAGAGCAAGCUCAUUGAAACUUCUUGAGAGGGAUAAACCACACACAUCAUGCUCUAAUCCUCUAUUGUUGUGUUUGCUUAAAUACUUGCACAGUAUGACAACUUUAGCUCAUGUAGGUGCAAACUGCUCUUUUGUUAUUCUA